UACAGUGUCGGAUGUUGCUUUUGGCAUGACCCCAGGGUGCAGAGACAGAGAACAUCAUGCAGGGAUGAUCAGAUCUGAUGGUGAAACAGGUGUUGACAGCUGCAAUCAUCUUCAGCCUGCAGAUGGUGCAUGACCUCAUCUUUUCUCAGCGGGAGACAAAAGGGCACCCAGAAAGCGUUACAUGAAGUAUUUAUGUCUCCGUUUCCACAUCAAGCAAAAUGGUCCAUUAUCUCCCCCAUUAACCGUCCUCGUAAUGUUCCUGAUGUCACCCCUUUUGGGCGUGCGUUGGAAUGGAGAUGAAGCUCGCCCCCUACUUCAUUCGCUGCUUAUUUAAGCCCACAGGAAGUGAAGCGUAAGUGUAACAGGAAAAGGAGAAUCCCCAGAAUGUAAAUCAAAGUUUUUUCUCCCUUUUAUGAGGCCGGCCACCCUGCAAGAUGAAGUGCUCUUGUUGUGAGGGAAAACAGCGCACAUGUCAUAACAUUGACACCUAUGGAGGGGGUCGGCUGGGAUCCAUCUUCAGGCCACAGCUCCCAUGUGCCCUCU